GACGUAGGAGGCGAGCGUUGUCCGGAUUCAUUGGGCGUAAAGAGCACGCAGGCGGUUUGGCAAGUCGGAUGUGAAAACCCGAAGCUCAACUUCGGGCCUGCAUCCGAAACUGCCCGACUAGAGGUAGGUAGGGGAGAUCGGAAUUCCUGGUGUAGCGGUGAAAUGCGCAGAUAUCAGGAGGAACACCAGUGGCGAAGGCGACUUCCUGGCCUGUUCUUGACGCUGAGGCGCGAAAGCUAGGGGAGCAAACGGG
rnacentral:rRNA from 1 species